rnacentral:rRNA from 1 species
AAUAGAUACCCAGGUAGUCCACGCCGUAAACGAUGGAUGCUAGCUGGUAUGCGUAUCGACCCGUGUAGUAGCGAAGCUAACGCGUUAAGCAUCCCGCCUGGGGAGUACGAACGCAAGUUUAAAACUCAAAGGAAUUGACGGGGACCCGCACAAGCGGUGGAGCGUGUUCUUUAAUUCGAGGCUAAGCGAAGAACCUUACCAGGGCUUGACAUCCUUGGAAUUUCUCCGAAAGGAGAGAGUACUUUAUUGGACCAAGUGACAGGUGCUGCAUGGCCGUCGUCAGCUCGUGUCGUGAGAUGUUUGGUUAAGUCCAUUAACGAGCGCAACCCUUAUGAAUAGUUGUAUUUUUCUAUUCAGACUGCCCCGGUAACGGGGAGAAGGGGGGGAUGAUGUCAGGUCAGUAUUGCCCUUACGCCCUGGGCUAGAAACGCGCUACAAUGGCCGGUACAAUGCGCUGCCAACCCGCGAGGGGGAGCAAAUCGCAUCAAAGCCGGUCCCAGUUCGGAUAAGAGGCUGAAACUCGCCUCUUGAAGCCGGAAUCGCUAGUAAUCGU